rnacentral:rRNA from 1 species
CUUAGAUCUUACGGUCUAAGUGCACACGGGCCGGGACUGUGAAACUGCGAAUGGCUCAUUAAAUCAGUUAUGGUUCCUUUGAUCGCUCCACCCGUACUUGGAUAACUGUGGCAAUUCCAGAGCUAAUACAUGCAAACGAGCGCCGACCCGGCCCGCGAGGGCCGGGGACGCGUGCAUUUAUCAGAUCCAAAACCCAUCCGGGUGCGGCGUGGGCUCCCCCUUCGGGGGUCGGGCCUCGUCGGCCGGUUGCUUUUGUGAGCCCCAAAACCCAUCCGGGACGCGUCUCCGGGCGCGCCCCGGCCGCUUUGGUGACUCAGUAUAACCUCGAGCCGAUCGCGCGCCCCCGCGGCGGCGACGACUCAUUCGAAUGUCUGCCCUAUCAACUUUCGAUGGUACUUUAGGCGCCUACCAUGGUGACCACGGGUGACGGGGAAUCAGGGUUCGAUUCCGGAGAGGGAGCCUGAGAAACGGCUACCACAUCCAAGGAAGGCAGCAGGCGCGCAAAUUACCCACUCCUGACACGGGGAGGUAGUGACAAUAAAUAACAAUACAGGUCUCUUUCGAGGCCCUGUAAUUGGAAUGAGCGUAUCCUAAACCCAUGGGCGAGGACCCAUUGGAGGGCAAGUCUGGUGCCAGCAGCCGCGGUAAUUCCAGCAGAUCGGAAUAGCGUAUAUUAAAGUUGCUCAGUUAAAAAGCUCGUAGUUGGAUCUCGGGAGCGAGCUUGCGGUCCGCCGCGAGGCGAGCCACCGCACGUCCGUACCCCUGCCUCCCGGCGCCCCCCGGAUGCCCUUAACUGGGUGUCCGGUCCGGGGCCCGGAGCGUUUACUUUGAAAAAAUUAGAGUGUUCAAAGCAGGCCGCAGCCCGCCUGAAUAUCUCAGCUAGGAAUAAUGGAAUAGGACUCCGGUUCUAUUUUGUGGGUUUCCGGAACCCGGGGCCAUGAUUGAGAGGGACGGCCGGGGGCAUUCGUAUUGCGCCGCUAGAGGUGAAAUUCUUGGACCGGCGCAAGACGGACGAGAGCGAAAGCAUUUGCCAAGAAUUUGUGAAGACUAACUACUGCGAAAGCAUUUGCCAAGAAUGUUUUCAUUAAUCAGGAAGAAAGUUGGGGGAUCGAAGACGAUCAGAUACCGUUGUAGUGUUCGAAGGCGAUCAGAUACCGCCCUAGUUCUAACCAUAAACGAUGCCAGCUAGCAAUUGGGUGUAGCUACUUUAUGGCUCUCUCAGUCGCUUCCCGGGAAACCAAAGCUUUUGGGCUCCGGGGGAAGUAUGGUUGCAAAGCUGAAACUUAAAGGAAUUGACGGAAGGGCACCACCAGGAGUGGAGCCUGCGGCUUAAUUUGACUCAACACGGGAAACCUCACCCGGCCCGGACACGGAAAGGAUUGACAGAUCGAUAGCUCUUACAGAUCGAUAGCUCUUUCUCGAUUCUGUGGGUGGUGGUGCAUGGCCGUUCUUAGUUGGUGGAGCGAUUUGUCUGGUUAAUUCCGAUAACGAACGAGACUCCGGCAUGCUAAAUAGUUACGCGGCCCCGCGCGGUCGGCGUCCAACUUCUUAGAGGGACAAGUGGCUCUCAGCCACGCGAGAUGGAGCAAUAACAGGUCUGUGAUGCCCUUAGAUGUCCGGGGCUGCACGCGCGCUACAAUGGGCGGAUCAGCGUGUGUCUACCCUGCGCCGAGAGGCGCGGGUAACCCGCUGAACCCCGCUCGUGAUCGGGACUGGGGAUUGCAACUGUUUCCCAUCAACGAGGAAUUCCCAGUAAGCGCGGGUCAUAAGCUCGCGUUGAUUAAGUCCCUGCCCUUUGUACACACCGCCUGACUGGCUCAGCGUGUGCCUACCCUGCGCCGAGAGGCGCGGGUAACCCGCUGAACCCCGCUCGUGAUCGGGACUGGGGAUUGCAACUGUUUCC